CAGGAGGAAAAACAGUAGCAGAACUAGAUGAAGAAUACAAAUAACUCAUCAAAUAAAUCACUUUCAGGAAGAUUAUGUUGAACGGAUCGACGACGACGACAAUGAUGAUGAAGAUUUUGAUAUACCAGGACAUUCAAGUGUCACGUGAAAGGUACUUGUCUCAUUGUAAUGUGUUUUUAUUUCUUUUCUGUUUCUAUUUCCUAUGGUCUUAAGUAUGAAAGGUAGAAAGAUCACUGUAUAACAUUAGCUUGAAAUUAUUUGAGUCACAAAGUGGGUAUAUGUACAUAUAAUUGACAAGUUUAGGCCCAUCCCAAGCUGUAGGGCUCAUGAUGCAAAAUUUUGUUGCUAAUAGGAUAUCAAUGACAAUUAGUAUUUCCAAGUUGUAAGAUGAUUAAGAAAAAACACAUUGAUCUAUGUUGUUGGCUUGUUGCUAUCAUAAGCAAUUCUCAAAUAUGUGUUUUCCUUUUAUGUGGCAAUAAAGUAUUUUGCCUGAAACAUCUGCAUUGCAGCUAGGAUAUGCUAUUCUCAUAAGCCGCUCACCUAAAAACGAGAGUUCUCUAUUGCUUAAUGUAGAUAAAUAGAUAGUCUUGCUAUGCAUGUUUUGAGGCAAUCUGUCAGAUAUCUGGAGGACGGUAGUGGGUAAAAAUGCCAAUAAUGCACAUCAUUGUCAUAUGCCUCUAUCGAAAUUGACUUAUAAUAAGGUGCAUGUUAAACUUUCAAUAAUAUUUUCUGGAAUGUGUAUUUGUGCAUAUUGUUACUUAUUACUACUGUAAAAAAGUCGAUGGUGAACCCAAAGAUUCCAGAAGGACUGUGGAAAGAACGUGUUGAGCAUAAAAAGGCGACCUGCAAUAAUGGUAAUUUCUUCUUCUUAUAGUUUGUGAUAUGCCUUUUCUUUUCUUAUGAACCUACUGCAGUGGUAAUGCGAGGAGCAAGCGUGUACAAAUUAUAUCAUAAUAUACUCUUUAUAUUGCAUCUUUAGUUUAUUUCCCAUGUGUUUUUUUAUCAGAUUAAGUGAAAGCUAGAUGAGGCUGCACCUUCAAGUGCAGUGAUUGCUAUGCGUCCACUGUAUCAACAAAAUUUCAAUUGAUAUUGUAGCCGGUGUCGUGGUAACUCUUCACAUCACUUUCAUAUAAUUGAAUGUGUAAUGUUUGACCAAGUGUAGCUCCAUUUACCUUCUAUGGUUGUAAUUAUGUUUUAGAAUCACGAUCCAGUUUAUGUGAUAUUAGAAAACAAAAAUCAUAGGUGGUUGUGUCAGAGGCCUUGGGAGAGGUGCCAUGUGCACACGCGAAGCCUAACUACAGCAGUCGGAAAUCUAGGACAACCCGACAAAUAAUUAUUAUUAAAUUCGAGUAUGUGAAACAAAGAAGUCAAGUGUUCCACUGAUAAUAGAAAUGAAAUUCAGUUAUACUUGUUUAAAGACAUUCUUAUUAUUCUACCAAAUUCCACCAAAGACAGCCCAUUUAGCUCGCUCGAUCCCUUACCUGCUUGUAUGGUAUUUAUGAUAUUGUUUAUUUGAUCUCCUAACUAAAUGAAAUCCUUGUUAGAACUUUUCUCCGUGAAUGUGAUGCACUCCAUACAAGAAAUGUCUAGUUGCACUAGGCAUGUCUAUUCCUUCUUUGUUGCGGAACAUGGUGGCCCUUUCGGUAGAGAGGCAUGUGGAGAUUUUGUUAAUGCAUCAUGUAUAUAAUCUAUAAUUACAAUUUAUGUCUCCUGUUUCAUGUCUACUUUUCUUGUGGCUUAUUAGUCGUCUUGGCAUUAUGGAUUGGUUCUAUUUACAUGCCAAGCCAAUUUGUACGUA